rnacentral:misc_RNA from 1 species
CAAGAAGCCGAAAGGCUACUUAAAACCAUCGCGAACUUAUCCAAGUUGCUCCGGCGGCGCGGCUCCCCUCACGGGGGACCGCAGCCCCCGCCUCUCAGGAGGUAAGGGGCAGCCGCCGGAGGUACGAAACUCUGUAUUAUAGUGGUAUCUCUGAGUAUAAAACAAAUAAGUUA